AAGCUCUGCAUAGUCCCUGGAAUGGCCCCUGCAGGCAAAUUCAGCCUCUCCAAUAUGAAGAAACUGAGGCCGGGAAUGUGACUUGUGGACAAGAGAUUUGUGAAGUGCAGUGAUUUGUCCAAGACUGUUCUGCUCAUUGGGUUUGAAGAUUUGCAUAUCUAGAUCAAACAAAUGAAAGGCACCUGAAGGGGAGGGCUGGUGAUCUAUUACCCCAGAGGAAAGGUGAGUUAAUGGAUCUCAUUUAGACUGUGCUAUCUGUUACCCAGACACCCUUUGGACCAUUCCGUUACUGCCUUGGAAGUUUACAUUUGGGAUCAUCUAUGUAAACAGGGUCUUAGGAUUAGGCAAAAAACCAUCUUUCCUCCAGCAGCGCUUUUCACAGGUUGCAUCCUUCUUUCUGGAAAUCCCUAA